GGUUAACCGAAUAGGGGAGCCGGAGGGAAACCGAGUCUUAACCGGGCGUUAAGUUGCAGGGUAUAGACCCGAAACCCGGUGAUCUAGCCAUGGGCAGGUUGAAGGUUGGGUAACACUAACUGGAGGACCGAACCGACUAAUGUUGAAAAAUUAGCGGAUGACCUGUGGCUGGGGGUGAAAGGCCAAUCAAACCGGGAGAUAGCUGGUUCUCCCCGAAAGCUAUUUAGGUAGCGCCUCGUGAAUUCAUCUCCGGGGGUAGAGCACUGUUUCGGCUAGGGGGCCAUCCCGGCUUACCAACCCGAUGCAAACUGCGAAUACCGGAGAAUGUUAUCACGGGAGACACACGGCGGGUGCUAACGUCCGUCGUGAAGAGGGAAACAACCCAGACCGCCAGCUAAGGUCCCAAAGUCAUGGUUAAGUGGGAAACGAUGUGGGAAGGCCCAGACAGCCAGGAUGUUGGCUUAGAAGCAGCCAUCAUUUAAAGAAAGCGUAAUAGCUCACUGGUCGAGUCGGCCUGCGCGGAAGAUGUAACGGGGCUAAACCAUGCACCGAAGCUGCGGCAGCGACGCUGAUGCGUUGUUGGGUAGGGGAGCGUUCUGUAAGCCUGCGAAGGUGGCCUGUGAGGGUUGCUGGAGGUAUCAGAAGUGCGAAUGCUGACAUAAGUAACGAUAAAGCGGGUGAAAAGCCCGCUCGCCGGAAGACCAAGGGUUCCUGUCCAACGUUAAUCGGGGCAGGGUGAGUCGACCCCUAAGGCGAGGCCGAAAGGCGUAGUCGAUGGGAAACGGGUUAAUAUUCCCGUACUUGGUGUUACUGCGAAGGGGGGACGGAGAAGGCUAUGUUGGCCGGGCGACGGUUGUCCCGGUUUAAGCGUGUAGGUGUGUGUUCCAGGUAAAUCCGGUU
rnacentral:rRNA from 1 species